AUGCAGCAGAAAGCUUUCCCAUUUCCAGUACUUUCACCAAAGUAUUUAUAAAUAAUAUUUUCAGGCUACUGCAGCUCUGAGAUUAAACAUAUCCAUACGGUUACUAUCCACUCACUUGAAGAAAUCAUGCUUCAUCAACCUCCAUUCCAGAAUUACAUGCAAUAAGGAUCACUUUGAAAAGCUGCUACCAGUGGAAAUCAGUAAUGAAGCUCUUCUAUCUGCUAACGUGUCUCUUGGCCAACCAAGAUGGAUGGGUAGUUCUAAGGUGCAUAUUACAGAUUCAUUUAGGCCGUGGAUGAUGAGAUUUCUUUUCCUGCGGGUGAAUUCUGCAGCACCCUCAGAGAUUUUGUGCCACUUUAAGGACCAACUGCAGCAAGAGAUAGAAUCCUCCUGUGUAUGUUUUUGUACUUAUGCCAGGGCAACAUCCAGUUCUAAUAACCUUAAUAAAAAUUAAUAUUGGCAAAAGACUUACACUGAACUAGUAAAUAAUAAACUGUAUUCGGUACUGACACAACUGAAUUGUUACACAAUUCUUCAGCUUGCAACCAUUGUUCAUACCAAGACAAAUACUUGAUUUCAGC